rnacentral:lncRNA from 1 species
CAGUAUGGGCGAAGAAGCGCAGAAGCUCGGCCAAGUGUUGAAGGAAUUUAGCCGAAGAAUGAUGGACGUCCUUCGAAGUCAGUCAAACGUUGACAACGAGGUGCAUUGUGGAGAGUAUAAGGACAUCAUCUCUCAAGCUCUUGACUGCUGUGAAGCAGCCUCGAUCCUUUCCAACCAGGCACUAUGCAGCAGGCGCGCGAUGCCAUCGAAGGUAUCCUCCUUCAACGUCAAGAAAGGACGGCAUUCGAAGAUAUGAAUCUCUUCGGCGCUUUCAUGAAGGUCGUUGGUGAUGACAUCAACGACAUCGGACAGAGCUUAAUCGACCGAGGUAUUAAACUGUGCGGGAAUUUUGUCAUCGAAGAUGCACUGACAGA